UACGUAGGGCGCAAGCGUUGUCCGGAAUUAUUGGGCGUAAAGAGCUCGUAGGUGGCUUGUUGCGUCUGCCGUGAAAGCCCGUGGCUUAACUACGGGUCUGCGGUGGAUACGGGCAGGCUAGAGGCUGGUAGGGGCAAGCGGAAUUCCUGGUGUAGCGGUGAAAUGCGCAGAUAUCAGGAGGAACACCGGUGGCGAAGGCGGCUUGCUGGGCCAGUUCUGAUGCUGAGGAGCGAAAGCGUGGGGAGCGAACAGG
rnacentral:rRNA from 1 species